UACGUAGGGGGCUAGCGUUGUCCGGAUUUAUUGGGCGUAAAGAGCGUGUAGGCGGCCAGGUAGGUCUGCUGUGAAAACUCGAGGCUCAACCUCGAGACGUCGGCGGAAACCAUCUGGCUAGAGUCCGGAAGAGGAGAGUGGAAUUCCCGGUGUAGAGGUGAAAUUCGUAGAUAUCGGGAGGAACACCGGUGGCGAAGGCGGCGACCUGGGUCGAGACUGACGCUGAGGCGCGAAAGCGUGGGGAGCAAACAGG
rnacentral:rRNA from 1 species